rnacentral:lncRNA from 1 species
UGCUGAACGGGAUGUGGCAGACCAGCGGCGGUUGGGGCCGAAUCGACCGAGACGACGCCGUCGAGGCCAUGCUCCGUUACGCCGACGCCGGCUUAUCCACCUUCGACAUGGCCGAUCACUGUACGUUUACGUUCUCUCUACUCGCUGCUAUUCUGCUGAUGUGGGCAUUUCCGAUUGGCCUAAUAUUCGUGUUUGUUAUGGAGUUUUCCGUUACUUACGAAUUAAUUGAAUGCGAAAUUCACAUUUUUUUUCUCCGACUUUUUUUUACCGUGUAUAAGUAAAUGGUAUUAAAAACAUUAAAAACAUUUUAUAACCGUAAAUGUUUUGAAUUAUUAAAAAUAAGCUUAGUUUUUCUUAUUCUUCUUACUAUAUACGUGUAGAAAUAUGCAUUGGAAUCCUUUUAUGUUAAGAGUUUAUCAUUAUUAAAUAAUAUUAAUUUUUUUAUUAACUUUCCAAGUCACUUUAUAAAAAUAUUAAAUAAAAAGUAUAACUAGCGUUUUAUAUUGUAAAAAUAUUAAAUAAAACGAAGUGUAUUUAAUGUUUCAAAAUAUAAAAAUAUUAAUUCAUCUUUGUUUAUUAAAUUAAAGGAUUAUUUAAAAUUCGAUUUAGAAUUAUUCUUAAAUUGUGAUUCCAGUUGAUAAUUAUGUUUUAGGAAUUGCAUUUAUUUUUAAGAUGAAAAGUAUUAAAAUUGAAUUAAUACAGACAUAAAAUAUAUUGCUUACUUCUUAAAUUAAUCUUUAAAAUAUUAAAUGACAAGCAUUUGAUAUUUUUGUAAAAUUUUACUUAUAUGUCCAUUUUUAUUAUUUGUAACAGUGUAAAAAUUGUGAAAAGUCUUUAUGUAGGUAUAUUUUACGUAGGUAUAUGAAUUAUUUACUCUAACAAUAAAUUUGAGUAUAAUUAUUUUUUUAUUAAAAUUUGACUAUUAUUUUUCGUAUUUAAUUUUAAAAACCAGGAAGGAGUGGAUUCGCUGCUUCAUCCAACCAUAUACUCCUUAUGGCAUUCUUCAUUUCAUCUGUAAAACCUCAUAUCAAUGAUAUCAUUAUUGUUAAUAGGUUAAGUAAAUGAACAAAAACAGUGGCCGAAAGAGACGUGAGAAAGGAGAAGCAAGGACCAAAUUGGAAUUAUAAGGAAUUGAAGCAGAGUGAAUGAAUCAGAAUUGGGUUGUGACGCUUCUCCAUCCAUUAGAGUUUUUUUAUACAGAAAAAUGUUUUUUAAUGAUUGAUUAAAAAAAUUAUUUCUUACUUUUAUAAUUUUAAUAAAAAUUUGUAUAAUAAAUUUUAAUUUAAAAAAAAAUAAUAUAUUUGUUUAAAUUAUGUCGCAACCAUAUUAAAAUUAUCAAAAAAUCUAAUAAAUAUUUUGAAUUUAAUCUGGAUAUGUGUUGUGGUUAAAGUGUCCGUAUCCUUAUAUAUAUCAGCUCGAUCUCCACAAGCCCUAAAACGGAAUCCUUUCCCAAAUCCCCUCACAGUGAGUCACCCAAGUAUGUGAUUUUGGCGGUACACAUAGCCAAUCAAAUGCCGGAUUCUCACCACCAUCAUUCCCAUGUUUCCUCACCGCCGGAACCAUUCUUGUGCGAUCUUUCUGUCGGAGCACACAGUCAUCACUCUUCCUCACCCUCACCCUCACCCGCUUCCGCCGACUCCCCGCCGCACUCCAACGCCAUCGUCAUGGUGUCGCCGCCCG